AGAGAGUUCCAGACACUGGGGAAUUGGUUACAAUCGGAAUUGCCCCAACGAAGCCUUAUCUUGAAAUAGGAGUAAUUUCAGCUGAUGGAAAGAAUCUAGUUCAUAGAGCGGAUCUAAAGCUCAAUCGGUGUCCAAUUUGCCAUGACAUUGGAAUCACAAAGAGUUCACCUCCGACAAACCAUAUACUACUCAAGAAAUUGACGAAGUUAGAGAAGAAUGGGCAAUGUCAUUUUUACAAUUGGUUAGA